rnacentral:rRNA from 1 species
GACGAACGCUGGCGGCGUGCCUAAUACAUGCAAGUCGAACGCUUCUUUCCUCCCGAGUGCUUGCCCUCAAUUGGAAAGAGGAGUGGCGGACGGGUGAGUAACACGUGGGUAACCUACCCAUCAGAGGGGGAUAACACUUGGAAACAGGUGCUAAUACCGCAUAACAGUUUAUGCCGCAUGGCAUAAGAGUGAAAGGCGCUUUCGGGUGUCGCUGAUGGAUGGACCCGCGAUGCAUUAGCUGGUUGGUGAGGUAACGGCUCACCAAGGCCACGAUGCAUAGCCGACCUGAGAGGGUGAUCGGCCACACUGGGACUGAGACACGGCCCAGACUCCUACGGGAGGCAGCAGUAGGGAAUCUUCGGCAAUGGACGAAAGUCUGACCGAGCAACGCCGCGUGAGUGAAGAAGGUUUUCGGAUCGUAAAACUCUGUUGUUAGAGAAGAACAAGGACGUUAGUAACUGAACGUCCCCUGACGGUAUCUAACCAGAAAGCCACGGCUAACUACGUG